rnacentral:lncRNA from 1 species
CAGUAAUAGAUUUGAGCUACGUUAGCUUUUACAUGGCGUGGAGAGCUACUUAGACUUCCGGAGUCAGUCAUUUUGGUGAUGAGACUUGGCAUUCUACCCCAGUUCCCAAAGUGGCUGAGAUCUACGAGAACCUGAGGCCACGCACGCCCAGCUGCCUUUGCCAGGCUGCCUCCCUGCUUCUUGGCCAGUCAAGAGCUGUUCACGAGUCAUUCGCACACCAGUUGGCACCCAAGCUUCAGAGGUUUCCCAAGCCGUCACUGUUUCUCACCUGGGCAGACUGGAGAGGUACGAUCUGUAACUGGUGUCUGAGGUUCUGAGCACAUAAGCCCUGGUUGCUGUCUCCUUACUCUAUGGAACUGCUACAGUAGCCCAUUGAGUCCUUGAGGGUUCUUUCCCUUGGGAGCCUGGACUCUUCAG